AGGCCACUGAUGCUUUUGGCUAAGAUCAAGUGUAGUACUGUAUCUGUUCUCAUAAGUUUAAUCUCUGAUACGCCCACUAUCUGGAGGCCAUAUAUUAAAUGGAUUUUUAGAACAGGGAGAUGGGAAAAGAGCUUGCUAUGUCCACUCUAUGCUUUAACCACAUAUUGCAGUACUUCCACGACCAGUGCACCUUUC